AUUGAACGCUGGCGGCAUGCCUUACACAUGCAAGUCGAACGGCCGCUCGGACUUCGUUCUGGCUGCUAGUGGCGAACGCGUGCGUCAUACACCGGAACGUACCCUGUUGUCGGGGAUAACUAGUCGACAGAUUAGCUAAUACCUCAUACCACCUGACGGCGAUCGUGGGGGACCGCAAGGCCUCACGCCUCCGGAGCGGCCGUUGUCUAGUUAGCUAGUUGGUGUGGUAAAGGCGCAACAAGGCGACGAUCAGUAGCUGUUCUGAGAGGCCGAUCAGCCACACUGGGACUGGGAAACGCCCCGGACUCCAGCGGGAGGCAACUGUGAGGAAUUUUGGACAAUGGGGGCAAACCUGAUCCAGCAAUGCCGCGUGUGUGAAGAAGGCGUUCGGGUUGUAAAGCACUUUUGUCCGGAAAGAAAUCGGGCUGGUUAGUACCUGGCGUGGAUGACGGUACCGGAAGAAUAAGCACCGGCUAACUACGUG
rnacentral:rRNA from 1 species